rnacentral:lncRNA from 1 species
AUGAGUGCCCACAGUGAUAAAAUGUUCAUUGAGGGCAUUACUAAUGGCGGAUUUCCAACUGCCAAGGAAGAGGAUAUCUCAGAAACUGGUUUAAAGACAAUGUUUUAUGCUCGGCAAGGUCAAAAGAAAAACCGUUUUUACAAAUAUGUAUGGGAAAACUGUCAACUCACAAACCCAGCUAAGAAAAAGAAUGUGCAUUUACAGAAGUCAGAGAAGAACAACAGAUUUUAAGAAUUCCUAAUUUUGGGGAUGCCUGGGUGGCUCAGGCGAUUAAGUAUCUGCCUUCAGCUCAGGUCAUGAUCCCAGGGUCCUGGAAUCGAGCCCCAGAUCAGGCUCCCUGCUCUGCGAGGAGUCUACUUCUCCCUCUCCCUCUGCCUGCCACUUCCCCUGCUUGUGCUCUCUCUCUCUCU